ACCAAGGCGGCUACAACAAAGGGU
rnacentral:siRNA from 1 species